rnacentral:lncRNA from 1 species
GCUCACCUAACCACCAUUAAAGAGACACUUCCAAGUCAUCAUAUGAUGAGUGAUAAUUCCAUUAGUCAACAAGCACCAGGCCUUUGGGUCUGCAAUGAUUAUUGAGUUAAUGGACUCAUUAUCAAACACCUUAAUGGGAGGCUAUGACUCAGUUAUCUCCAUAACUUUAUCAUUUUAAAGACCUAAUAAUUUUAGAAGAUUUAAAUAAUUUAGAGGAUGAGGUCAGAUGAACCAGCUUAUCAUGAUCCUCCCACUGGCUUCACCAUGUCAGUUUAAGGGAGACCAUUAAAAGGGCUGGUCUAGGAGCAUCUAAAUCAGUCACACUGAUUUACCUAGCUGACAUGGGUCAGCUCGAAUAGUCAAGUGAUCCGAUCAAAACAUAAUUUCACCAAGAGGCCAGGUAAGUUCGAUCAGUGGGAGGGUC